CAACCCAUCAAGCUUCGGCUUGGUCUUGGGGCUUGCGGUUUCGCAGCCUCUAAACUCAGUGGCGGUGCUUCUGAGCUCUGAGCGUAGUAAUUUUUUCUCGCUAUAGGGUCUCGGUGGUUACUUGCCAGCAACCCCCAAUUUUUAUCA
rnacentral:misc_RNA from 1 species